rnacentral:sRNA from 1 species
GUCUAGGAGCGAUGUGUGUUUAGGGAACAUACGUGGCCAUGGCGGUGGGUCCGUGUUGUGGGCCUUGGUGAGGCCCAGCGCUGGCGCAGCGAGAACUUCGAGAGACCCGUGGACCUGGAGGGCUCUGGGGAUGAUGACUCCUUUCCUGAUGAUGAACUGGAUGACCUCUACUCGGGGUCGGGCUCGGGCUACUUCGAGCAGGAGUCGGGCAUUGAGACAGCCAUGCGCUUCAGCCCAGAUGUAGCCCUGGCGGUGUCCACCACACCUGCGGUGCUGCCCACCACGAACAUCCAGCCUGUGGGCACACCAUUUGAAGAGCUCCCCUCUGAGCGCCCCACCCCGGAGCCAGCCACCAGCCCCCUGGUGGUGACAGAAGUCCCGGAAGAACCCAGCCAGAGAGCCACCACUGUCUCCGCUACCAUGGCUACUACUGCUGCCACAACCACAGGGGCCCCGACUGUGGCCACAGCGCCUGCCACGGUGGCCGCCGCCGCCCCCAGCACCCCUGCAGCACCCCCUUUUACGGCCACCACUGCUGUUAUAAGGACCACCGGCGUACGGAGGCUUCUGCCUCUUCCACCGACCACAG